GGCAUUAGUGCUGUUCCCAUGGAUGAUCCUAAAGAUGGAGACAAGCACUGGGUGGUGAUCCUGGCGGGUUCAAAUGGCUGGUAUAAUUAUAGGCACCAGGCAGAUGCCUACCACGCCUACCAGGUCAUUCACCGGAAUGGGAUUCCCAACGAGCAGAUCGUUGUGAUGAUGUAUGAUGACACUGCUUAUGCCGAAGACAAUCCCACUCCAGGAAUUGUGAUCGAUAGGCCCAAUGGUACCGACGUCUAUAAGGGGGUCCCGAAGGACUACACUGGAGAGGAUGUCACCCCACAAAAUUUCCUUGCCGUCCUGAGAGGUGAUGCAGAGGCAGUGAAGGGCAUAGGAUCUGGAAAAGUCCUGAAGAGUGGCCCCCAGGAUCAUGUGGUUCGCUUAAGUCACUGAUCACAGAUCUACUGGAACACAGGUUUUUCGCAAUGAAGACCUUCACAUAAAGGACCUGAAUGAGACCAUCCAUUACAUGUACAAACACAAAAUGUACCGAAAGAUGGUGUUCUACAUUGAAGCCUAUGAGUCUGGGUCCAUCUGCCUGAUGACAUCAAUGUUUAUGCAACUACUGCUGCCAACCUCAGAGAGUCGUCCUAGGCCUGCUACUACGAUGAGAAGAGGUCCACGUGCCUGGGGGACUGGUACAGCGUCAACUGGAUGGAGGACUCAGACGUGGAAGAUCUGAUGAAAGAGACCCUGCGCAAGCAGUACCACCUGGUAAAAUCGCACACCAACACCAGUCACGUCAUGCAGUAUGGAAACAAAACGAUCUCCACCAUGAAAGUGAUGCAGUUUCAGGGUAUGAAACACAAUGCCAUUUCUCCUAUCUCUCUGCCUCCAGUCACACGCCUUGACCUCACCCCCAGCCCUGACGUGCCCCUCAUGAUCAGGAAAAGGAAGCUGAUGAACAUAAUGAUCUGGAGGAGUCCAGGCAGCUCACAGAGGAGAUCCAGCAGCGUCUGGAUUCCAGGCACCUCAAUGAGAAAUCAGUGCAAAAGAUUGUCUCCUUGCUGGCAGCGUUCGAGGUGGAGGUGGAGCAGCUCCUGACCAAGACAGCCCUGCUCACGGGACACAGCUGCUACCCAGAGGCCCUGUUGCACUUCCGGGCACACGCUUCAACUAACACUCCCCCAUGUAUGAGUAUGCGUUGAGACAUCUGUACAUGUUGGUCAACCUUUGCGAGAAACCGUAUUCGCUUCACAGGAUAAAACUGUCCAUGGACCAUGUGUGCCUUGGUCACUCCUGAAGAGCCACCUCCUGGUAGCUUUUCCAAGUGUGAGUGCUCCCCCGAAAGAGUGCUGAUCAGGGCCUGGAGAGGUGGAUUGGGAGUCCCCGCUGCUCCCGGGCCUCUUGGGAACCCCCCACUCCAGGGCUUGCUCCAGGGCCUUCUUCAAAAGAUGACUUGCUCGCAGUUACCUACUUCCCCAGUCUUCUCUGAAAAACUAUAAAUUUGGGUGGGGAAAGCUGUGUAUUAAGAAGGGUCAUAUUUGCUUUCUAGGAUGUGUUUUGUUUUGUUUUGUUUCGUUCAUUAGUUUUAAGGAGGAGGAAGAUCAUGGCGGCUUCUGUAGCUCUUCUCAAAA